rnacentral:lncRNA from 1 species
CUGACAUUAGGCCAACAUAAAAGCAUGAAAAGUAUUUAGCUACAGCUGUUUCAACAUGCCUCAAACAUUGCAGAAGACCAUGAAAAAGUAUUAAACAAUUCAAUUAGCAAACAAUUAAUAAACAAUUCAAGAAUUCAAGUUCUAUGCAUUCAAACAGGCAUCACCUUUAUGGGACAUGGACAUGAACAAGUUAGAUCCUUCCUUUUUAACAAAAGAACAACAUCAGGAAAAAACAGUACUAACUAUGGAGAUAGAAUUGUUGCUUAAUUCCAAAUAAAUAGAUUAUGAUCCACAAAUAAAUGUAAAGAGAUUUAAAAAAAAAAAUUAAACAUAUUGACAAAUUAAUAUAAUGAGAUCCACAAAUAAAUCUUUAAGUUUCACAAACAAGUAUUAAAUUCACAAAUAAUUAAAAUGAGAUUUGCAAAUAAAAAACAUAUUCACAAAUAUAUAUUUAUGUCACAACCACAACUUUGUCUGGCAUUUAUUUGUGAAUCGCGCCCUGUGCAUUUGCGAAUUGUGAAACAUUUCUGCUGACAAUCCACAAAUAUGCUAAUCAAGCCAAUCAGAUAACAGCCACAUUUCGCUGACCAAUCGUAGCACGAUCUCGCUAUAGCCAAUCACGUUUUGCUUUACAAUCAGGGCAGUCUUGUCCUGAGAUAACUUAAUUCAUCUGCAUUGGCUCAAAUAGGUAAUAUAAGGGCCAUGAAAGGGGUAACGUUACAGUAAAAGAUGUUUAAAAUUGGAUUUCGUUAGACCAUUAGACUGUGUAUCAUGCCAACCAAGCCACAGUAUUUUAUGUUACGUGCCUUUCAAAAUGCCAGAGAAACAGAGCUUUUUUACAUUUAUAAAGCCAUUUUUUCUUAAAGUGUGCAUCACCCUUUUGAGUCAAAUUCUUGCAUAUAAUUUGUCAAUUAGAAUAAUGAGACAUUUGGGCUGUUGCCAAGCAAAUGGUAUAAAUAUCAACGAAAUUAAUCUUUGCAAGAGGAAACACAGAAGCUGCAUCUGAAGUGGCAUAGAUGUCACACUGUUUAAUGGAGUUCAGAGGGACAUGGGAUUCUUUAACAUGCAGUUACAAAUGCAUAGAAAAUGUUUAGAUAUUUUAAACAUAAAACGUUGAAUACUGACAUUUGAAAUUAUUUAAAA